AUUUUGGUACAAUGGUGGUGGAACUCAAUGUAAAUGAGGAGCACAUAGAAAGCAUAUGUCUACAAGGAUGAGAAUAACUAACAGGAUGGGGGGAAGAAUAUUAUAUGAAGUGCAUUAUUCAAGGAAGCACCUAUAAAGUAAAUUCAGAUGAUAACAAUAGGCGUUAGUAUUAUUUGGGUGUUCUGUGGAUGAGAGUGAAUCAGGUAACACAUAAACAGCUUGAAAACUUGAAAGCCAGUCAAUUAUCAGAGCAUAACAAGGAAUGGUGAACAUAUAUUACGAAAGGAAAAAGAAGUAAAAAAAAAAAAAAAAAAAA